AAUUGACGAAUUGAAGAACGUUUGGAAUGGCUAUUAUUGGUCAAUCACAGCACGUGUACUAAAAAAAUCCGAUGUUCUUCCAUUUAAACAUGGCAAUGGAAAAUAUUUUACAACAAUAUUAAUUGACAAAACUACAGAAAUAAGAGCUACUGCUUUUGGAAACGAUGUUGACCGUUUAUUUUCACAACUUCAG